rnacentral:piRNA from 1 species
UAGGAGUUCUCUUUGGAAAUCUGCAU